rnacentral:lncRNA from 1 species
GCCGCCAUCUUGACUCCGCCUCUCUAGAAAAGUGUUUUUAAAGGAAGGAGUAGACUAUUAUCAAAUGUGACAACAGUGUGCAAACUUUUUAACUGGUAAAACUAGGGGACUGAAGUAAUAGAGCAAGAGGAGAAUGAGUGGUAGACUACAAAAGGAAAAUUUGAUGGUGGCUGGAGAUGAUAUCUGGGUUAAAAGUGUUACUAAACCCAAAUUCACCUGUCAGAAUAUGUCCUGUACUGUCAGGAGUAAGGAACAAGCUAAAUUGGACAGAUCCAAAAGGAAGAUGCUCCAUAAACACAAGAACAUAAGACCUGAAGCAGAAACUGUUGAAGUAUGGGCAGUACCUAAAUGCAGUGUACACAGAGGAUAUGGAUUGAGGAAAACCAGCCACAGAAAAUAAAAUAUUCCUGCCAGGGACAAUUGAUGACAAGGAUAUGAAGCCUGUCUAUUUUUAUUUUGCCCUGAGUUAGAGCUAGCAAAAUUCAUGUAUACUCAUAACAGGGUAAAAUGAUCUUGUAUAAUGCUGCAUAAUCUAUUGAACAAAGUCUGGUUAUUAAGAUACCUUCAGAGUGUAAAUGGUUCAAUAAUAAAUAAACAGAAUUGCAUAAAU